UCGCUUGAGUUUUUAUGAGACCGGCGCACGGGUGAGUAACGCGUAUGCAACCUACCUUAUACAGGGGAAUAGCCCGAAGAAAUUCGGAUUAAUGCUCCAUGGUUUAUCGAUAUGGCAUCGUAUUGAUAAUAAAGAUUUAUCGGUAUAAGAUGGGCAUGCGUAUCAUUAGCUAGUUGGUGUGGUAACGGCAUACCAAGGCGACGAUGAUUAGGGGUCCUGAGAGGGAGAUCCCCCACACUGGUACUGAGACACGGACCAGACUCCUACGGGAGGCAGCAGUGAGGAAUAUUGGUCAAUGGAGGCAACUCUGAACCAGCCAUGCCGCGUGCAGGAUGACGGUCCUAUGGAUUGUAAACUGCUUUUGUACAGGAAGAAACCUCCCUACGAGUAGGGACUUGACGGUACUGUAAGAAUAAGGAUCGGCUAACUCCGUGCCAGCAGCCGCGGUAAUACGGAGGAUCCGAGCGUUAUCCGGAAUUAUUGGGUUUAAAGGGUUCGUAGGCGGCUUUGUAAGUCAGUGGUGAAAUUUCCUAGCUUAACUAGGACACUGCCAUUGAUACU
rnacentral:rRNA from 1 species